GAUUUUUUUUCUGCAACCUAUAUGCAAUAUUUUUGAUAUUGUGUCCAAAUUUUCCCCAACUGUUCAGGGUUAGACCCCUGCAGUCGUAUCAGGCUGCACUUAGUGAAGCAUUUUAUUUGUUUUUGGAAUGAAUGAGAUACUAGAAAUUUGAAAAAUCUUGAUGAGAUAAAAACCUUAUAAAAGAGUUUGAUGAAAGAAAAUCCAUUUAGACAGCCAAGUUCCUAAUUUAAUGAAAAUUUCGGAGGUUGCAUUGUUUUUAAAUUUUGGUGUUUAGAUGUUAUCUUUUGAACAUGAUGUCAAUGACCUUCAGUGGCGGAUCCAGGGGAGGGUUCUGGGGGUUGGAAUCCCCCUUUUUUUUGGACGAUCAAUGCAUUUGAAAGGGGACAUAUAGUUGGACACCCCCUUUUUAAAAAUGGCUGGAUUCGCCUCUGACCUUGAUUAAAUAAAAUGACAUUUGAAAUAAGAAAAACCCUAUUUAUUUUGUCAAAACAGCAAUUUUUACCAGCUACUUAUGGAAUAAAAUGUAAGCAAAAAUGUUACCUUUAAAAAUAAAUUAUGUUUUAAAUUAUUAUUAAUUUAAUAUCUUAACUUGUCAGAUAUGUCCCUUAUAGGCAAAAGUUGACUGGCCCUAUUGAUUUAGGGGUCAAUAUGUAAAAGAUCAAGGUCACAACAGCUAUCAAUUCACUGAAAUUUGGGUCAAGUCUUGGUGUGUUGAUGUUGACUUUGGAGCUUUAUGUCCAACUUUUUCAUAACUUGGAUGGAAAUGCCCA
rnacentral:lncRNA from 1 species